rnacentral:rRNA from 1 species
CCUACGGGAGGCAGCAGUGGGGAAUAUUGCACAAUGGGCGAAAGCCUGAUGCAGCAACGCCGCGUGCGCGAUGAAGGCCUUCGGGUCGUAAAGCUCUGUUCUCAAGGAAGAUACUGGCGUUACUUGUGGAGGAAGCCCCGGGUAACUACGUGCAAGCAGCGGUGGUACUACGUAGGGGGCCAGCGUUAUCCGGAAUUACGGGGCGUAAAGGGUGCGUAGGUGGUUUCUUAAGUCAGAGGUGAACGGCUACGGCUAAACCGUAGUAAGCCGUGGAAACUGGGGAACUUGAGUGCAGGAGAGGAGGGUGGAAUUCCUAGUGUAGCGGUGAAAUGCGUAGAUAUUAGGAGGAACCCCAGUUGCGAAGGCAGCUCUCUGGAGUGUAACUGACGCUGAGGCACGAAAGCGUGGGGAGCAAACAGGAUUAGAUACCCUAGUAGUC